CACCAGACUCCUACGGGAGGCAGCAGUGGGGGAUAUUGCACAAUGGGGGAAACCCUGAUGCAGCGACACCGCGUGGGUGAAGAAGCGCUUCGGCGUGUAAAGCCCUAUCAGUGGGGAAGAAAAAGGACGGUACCCAAAGAAGAAGCACCGGCUAAAUACGUGCCAGCAGCCGCGGUAAUACGUAUGGUGCAAGCGUUAUCCGGAUUUACUGGGUGUAAAGGGAGCGUAGACGGCGAAGAAAGUCUGAAGUGAAAGCCCGCGGCUCAACCGCGGAAUGGCUUUGGAAACUUUUUUGCUGGAGUACCGGAGAGGUAAGCGGAAUUCCUAGUGUAGCGGUGAAAUGCGUAGAUAUUAGGAGGAACACCAGUGGCGAAGGCGGCUUACUGGACGGUAACUGACGUUGAGGCUCGAAAGCGUGGGGAGCAAACAGGAUUAGAUACCCCUGUA
rnacentral:rRNA from 1 species